GGUUAGAAAAUACAGCCUGUGUUAAGCCUCGUGGCGUAACAUCCUCCCCCCGUUGAGAGGGUACCGAUCAAAUGAUAUGGUGUGGAGUCAGUAUAGUGGGGGUCGUCUUAAAGAUGAGACAAAGAAAUCAUCCAAAGUGGAUCAGUUCCUUGUGACGCGUCGAACAUUACACAUUGCCAAACAUUCGCUUAUUCUGUUAAUAAGUAUCAUAUCGUGCUACGUCCACCAAGAGACUAACUUCAAGUGUAAGAGCCUUGCUCGAUACUGUAUACAUUUACAUUAUCUGCGUGCGAUAAAG
rnacentral:misc_RNA from 1 species